GGAUACAGUGCCCAUGAUGGUGGAUGCAGUGAUCCUGCAGUGGUUGCAGGGCCACCUGCUGUUUACCUGAAUGUGGAUGCAGUGAUCAUGCAGUGGAUGGAGUGUCCCUCAUGGUGGAUGCAUUAUGAUGUGUUGGAGGAUUCAGUGAACAUGAAGGAGGAUGCAGUGAUGCUGCAGUCAUUGCAGUGAACUUGCAGUGCCACUUCAGCUGGAUGCAGUGUCUCUGCAGUGGUUGCAUUGCCCUGUCCUGUGUCGCUGAAUGUGGAUGCCGUGCCCACGCAGUGGAUGCAGAGUACCAAAAGUUGGUUGCCGUAUGUUGUGACAGAGGAUGCAGAGCCAUGGAGUUGGAUGCAGUUAGCCGGCAGUGAUUUCAGUACUCCUUCAGUGCCACUUCAGCUGGAUGCAGUGUCCCUGCAGUAGUUGCAAUGCAUCUGCAUUGUCCUGGAAUCUGAAUGCAGUGCACAUGCAGUGGAUGCAGUGUCCCACAAGAUGGAUGCAGUAUGUUGUGAUGAACGAUGCAUGGCGCAUGAAGGUGGAUGCAGUGAUGCUGCAGUGGUUGCAGUGCCCCCUACAGUUCCCUGAAUGUUCAUGCAGUGCCCAUGCAGUAGUUUCAGUGUCCCACAAGGUGGAUAUCAUAUGUUGUGAUGGAAGAUUCAGUGCCCACGAAGGUGGAUGCAGUGAGCCAGUGCUGAAGCCAGUGCACCUGCAGUGAGACUUCAGCUGUAUGCUGUGUCCCUACCAUGGUUGCAGUGCCCACUGCAUUGUCCAAAAGCGUGGAUGCAGUGCCCAGGCAUUGGAUGCAGUG
rnacentral:lncRNA from 1 species